GGCGGACGGGUGAGUAACACGUGGGUAACCUACCUAUAAGACUGGGACAACUUCGGGAAACCGGAGCUAAUACCGGAUAAUAUGUUGAACCGCAUGGUUCAAUAGUGAAAGAUGGUUUUGCUAUCACUUAUAGAUGGACCCGCGCCGUAUUAGCUAGUUGGUGAGGUAACGGCUCACCAAGGCAACGAUACGUAGCCGACCUGAGAGGGUGAUCGGCCACACUGGAACUGAGACACGGUCCAGACUCCUACGGGAGGCAGCAGUAGGGAAUCUUC
rnacentral:rRNA from 1 species